GUAGCUUACCAGGAUUGACUACAGCAUUAGCAACGCUAACGUUAGCUAGCGUUGGCAGCGGCCUAGCUAGUAAAGCUAGCUUAUAAACACAUCAACACAGGAAAGAUUAUCAACACAUCAGUAAAACAUACGUUUCCCGUGGCCUGGUGGUUGGGGAAGCCUGCCAUGCUUGGAGCUAUGAUGUGCUCUUCUACGCUGGAAAAUACCGAAGCUCCGGGAGACGUCUUUGUCGGUGUCAGUGAACUCACCGUGCAGACAGUCGCCCGAUCCUGUGAGGCUCUGAGGCUGGGCCACCUCCAAACCCAGAAGAGACGGAGAAGACGAGGGCGACGAGGACGACGAGCCGGGCGGAGACGAGGGCGGCAGGCACUGGGAGCUCUGGUUGGGCACGGCCGACUGGGAGCUCUGGGAGGGGAUCUGGGCCGAACUGGAGCUGUUGUUGUUGUGCAUGUUGCCCAUUCCGUUUUCGGUCAGGAACUCCUCCAAGUCCAUGUACUGCAGCUGGAAAAGGCCCCCGUCGGCCGCCACGGUGCGAUCCCACAAGAGAGGCCCCAGGAACUGGUUGAAAUUCCCGCUUCCGCUAGCACCGUUGCAGCCCCCGCUGCCGUUUAUUCCGGCUGCGUUCCUCAUGGGGCACACCCCCAAGGAAUCCUCAUCCAGGUCCAUAGCUCGCUCCUUGUCUGAUCAAAAGAAGGGGACACAACUCUUAGUAAAAAUGACACGCGUUUCUCAACUCCUAUUUCCACACAUCUCCAAACAUCUCAGCCAACGGUGCCUCUGCUGGUUGCAGCCAGUACUGCAGCAUCCAUCAGCCUCAGUAUGGAAUGGAAUGGCCUUUAUUAGCGGCCACGCAAAACCACACCCUUGUCAAACUUUCUACACCACCUGAAAAAGUAUUCUGCUUUGCAAGGACCGCCCCUUCUUUGCUAGCUGGGUUUAGCUUCCAGCGCCUUUCUCCAAAGGAAAAUGCCACUUGGCUUUCUUUCAUCUGGUAUUCCUGCCUACCAGCAAAGCUGUAGAUGAUUGUGGAAGAGCUAACCCCAAACGGACCCUGUUUUCUGGAAAUUUAUUGUCACACAUUUUCUGGAAAAUUGGCCAUAUUAUCGGGAAAUUUAUUGUCACACUUUCUGGAAAAUGGCCCAAUUUUUGGGGAAAUGUAAUGCCCUUAUUUUCUGGAAAAUGGCCCCAUUUUUUGGAAAUUGAAUGCCCCUUCUUUUCUGGAAAAUUGCCCAUAUUUUUUGGGAAAUGUAAUGCCCUUAUUUUCUGGAAAAUUGCCCCAUUUUUUGGAAAUUGAAUGCCCCUUAUUUUCUGGAAAAUUGCCCAUAUUUUCUGGAAAAUUGCCCAUAUUUUCUGGAAAUGUAUUGUCCCUUAUUUUCUGGAAAAUGUCCCCUAUUUUCUGGAAAUGUAAUGUCCCUUAUUUUCUGGAAAAUGCCCCCUAUUUUCUGGAAAUGUAUUGUCCCUUAUUUUCUGGAAAACGUCCCCUAUUUUCUGGAAAUGUAAUGUCCCUUAUUUUCUGGAAAAUGUCCCCACGUUUUCUGGAAAUUUAAUGUCCCUUAUUUUCUGGAAAAUGCCCCCUAUUUUCUGGAAAUGUAUUGUCCCUUAUUUUCGGGAAAAUGUCCCCUGUUUUCUGGAAAUUGAAUGUCCCUUAUUUUCUGGAAAAUGCCCCCUAUUUUCUGGAAAUGUAUUGUCCCUUAUUUUCGGGAAAAUGUCCCCUGUUUUCUGGAAAUUGAAUGUCCCUUAUUUUCUGGAAAAUGCCCCCUAUUUUCUGGAAAUGUAUUGUCCCUUAUUUUCUGGAAAACGUCCCCUAUUUUCUGGAAAUGUAAUGUCCCUUAUUUUCUGGAAAAUGUCCCCCGUUUUCUGGAAAUUUAAUGUCCCUUAUUUUCUGGAAAAUGCCCCCUAUUUUCUGGAAAUGUAUUGUCCCUUAUUUUCUGGAAAACGUCCCCUAUUUUCUGGAAAUGUAAUGUCCCUUAUUUUCUGGAAAAUGUCCCCCGUUUUCUGGAAAUUUAAUGUCCCUUAUUUUCUGGAAAAUGUCCCCAAUUUUCUGGAAAUCUGAUGUCCCUUAUUUUCUGAAAAAUGUCUCCUAUUUUCUGGAAAUUUAAAGUCCUUCACUUUCUGGAAAAUGCCCUGUUUUCUGAAAAUUUAAUGUCCCUUACUUUCUGGAAAAUUACCCCUAUUUUCUAGAAAUGGAAUAUCCCUUAUUUUCUGGAAAUGUAAUGUCCUUCGCUUUCUGAGAAAUGCCCCCUGUUUUCUGAAUAAUUAAUGUCACUUAUUUUCACGAAAACGUCCCUUAUUUUCUAGAAUUGUAAAGUCUGCUAUUUUCUGGAAAAUUCACCUAAUAUUUUAUAAAAUGCCCCCUAUUUUUUGGAAACGUAACGUCCCUCAUUUUCUGGAGAAUGCCCCCUAUUUUCUUGCAAUUUAAUGUCACUUAUUUCGUGGAAAAUAUGCCUUAUAUUUUGAAAAAUGUCCCGCAUUUUCUGGAAAAUUAAUAUAUGCCUUGUUUUCCGGAAAAUAUGGCUUAUAUUCUGAAAAAUGUCCCUUAUUUUCUGGAAAAUAGUAUGUAUAUUAUGGAAAAUGGCAUAUUAUUUUCUGGAAAAUGUAAUGUCCCUCAUUUUCUGGAAAAAAAAAAGGCCCUUAUUUUGAAAUGCACAGGAUGACAGGUGUGAUCCUGAAGCGGAUGGAAAGCUGGCGAUGAUAGCUUAGUCCCGAGUGUUUCCAUGAGAAAGAGAAAAAAAAAAGACGUCUCUCGCUCACAGAUGGAGCAGAUGGCGAGUGAGUUGCAGAAUUAGCAGAACCAGAACCCAUGAAUGUGUGCUAGCAUCUGACAUACAUAACGUGCUAAUAAUAAUAAUAAUAAUACAAUACAAUGUGUUUGCAUUGUCUGAUUGCAGAGGGAUUAUAAUCCAAGGUCGGGGUCACGGGGGGGUCACGGCUCAUGAUGUGUGAUUGGUUGUGUGUCGCUGUGAUUAUCAUUUCAUGCACGCUCACAUCGGCCCACCUUUGAUAUCACAGGGGCUCCUCAGCCUCUGGUCCCCCUUCAUGGGGUGCUGCAGGAGGGACUUGAGCCCCGCCAUGGAGCCGAGGUGCCCCCCUGUGAGAGUGCCGGCGGGCUGGGUGCAAGUUCCAAACUGGGGGCUGGCGCCGGCAGGCAAG